GCCCGCCUAGCUCAAUCGGAUAGAGCGUGAGACUUUUAAUCUCAAGGCUGCGAGUUCGAGCCUCGCGGUGGGCU
rnacentral:tRNA from 1 species